GUGUUGCUUGGCUACACUCUAGUUUGCGUCCAGCAAAAUACUCUAACGUCAUUUUGGUGCUGCAUAUUCUACUCAGAAUGAUUAUGUGCCUUUGUUUUCCAUGGGUGUGAAGCAACUUACUUCGGCAACCAUCGGCAGUCUUCGGUACUUUCCGUGUAGUGACUUCCUGUUGAUUCGGAAGAUGAUUCCACCAAGAUCUAUCAACUUGGCCAUCCCGUGAAAAGUAACACCAUUUAGGCAAAUGUGAGUUCUGUGUUCACCUUGCUGAUUGAUGACUCCCAACCGUGGUCUGGAGGUGGUUGAAGCUUGGCAGACUGCAGGAAGACCAUCCAAUCUUCAAUCAGCAUCUCAUAUUAAUAUCAUAUUUCUACAAGCAGGUUGUGGCUUCAAAUACCCUCCUCUCACAUAAAGGCUGUGUCUGGAAAAAAGUGAC